AAGUUCCUGCGGUGUGCGUACUGUUCGGUAUCGAACUUUGCGGCCCAUUAAACCCACAUCUCUUAUAAGGGAUGCCGAUAUGAAUCUGCGGAUUGCAGGCCUCCCGGCGAAAGCCGGACGUUGGAAGCAGAGAAACAGAACUAAGGCGACCCACCUGCCUUUUUGUGCAGGUUAUAAUCGGGCCGGUACGGCAUUCGCGGGGCACUC
rnacentral:other from 1 species